AGACCAAUCAUCUGAGGAUCUUGUUAAAACGCAGGCACUGAUUCAGCAGGUCUGGGGAGGGGUCUGAGAAUCUGCAUUUCUAACAAGCUCCCAGGUGAUUUGGAA
rnacentral:pre_miRNA from 1 species